rnacentral:sRNA from 1 species
AAAACAAAAGAUAAACAAAAACCUCUCUUUUAGUUCUGGUAUUUCAGAAAACGAUUCAUUUACCAUCACGGACAUAACGGCAAACACUCCCAAAAUGGAACCAACGUGUAUUGCAAAUUGUGUGAAUACACUUCUACAAGAAUACAACAGGUUUGUUUGGCUGUAUUUUUAAAAGAUUUAUUAC